AACGAACGUUAGCGGCGCGCCUAACACAUGCAAGUCGCACGAGAAAGGGCUUCGGCCCCGGUAAAGUGGCGCACGGGUGAGUAACACGUGGGUAAUCUGCCCUCGAGCGGGGGCAUAACAUUGCCGAAAGGAGUGCUAAUACCGCAUAAGACUACGACCUCGAAAGAGGAUGCAGUCAAAGCUGGCCUCUAUACAUAAGCUAGCACUUGAGGAUGAGCCCGCGGCGCAUCACGGUAGUUGGUGAGGUAAUGGCUCACCAAGCCUAAGACGCGUAGCUGGUCUGAGAGGAUGAUCAGCCACACUGGAACUGAGACACGGUCCAGACUCCUACGGGAGGCAGCAGUGGGGAAUCUUGCGCAAUGGGCGAAAGCCUGACGCAGCGACGCCGCGUGAGUGAUGAAGGCCUUCGGGUUGUAAAGCUCUGUGGGGCGAGACGAAUAAGUGCAGCCUAAUACGUUGCAUGAUGACGGUAUCGCCUUAGCAAGCACCGGGUAACUCUGUGCCAGCAGCCGCGGUAAGACAGAGGGUGCAAACGUUGUUCGGAAUUACUGGGCGUAAAGCGUGUGUAGGCGGUCUCAUAAGUCGGGUGUGAAAGCCCCGGGGCUCAACCCGGGAAGUGCACUCGAAACUGCGAGGCUAGAGUACUGGAGAGGUUGGUGGAAUUCUCGGUGUAGAGGUGAAAUUCGUAGAUAUCGAGAGGAACA
rnacentral:rRNA from 1 species